rnacentral:rRNA from 1 species
AUUGAACGCUGGCGGCAUGCCUUACACAUGCAAGUCGAACGAGUGGCGGACGGGUGAGUAAUGUAUGGGAACCUGCCUGGUAGCGGGGGAUAACUACUCGAAACGGUGGCUAAUACCGCAUACUAUUGGAUGUGCCCAUAUGGGAUUAGCUAGUUGGUGGGGUAAAGGCUCACCUAGGCGACGAUCCCUAGCUGGUUUGAGAGGAUGACCAGCCACACUGGAACUGAGACACGGCCCAGACUCCUACGGGAGGCAGCAGUGGGGAAUAUUGGACAAUGGGGGAAAGCCUGAUGCAGCCAUCCCGCGUGUAUGAAGAAGGCCUUCGGGUUGUAAAGUACUUUUAGCGGGGAGGCGGUACCUGCAGAAGAAGCACCGGCUAACUACGUGCCAGCAGCCGCGGUAAUAC